ACGGAGGGUGCAAGCGUUAAUCGGAAUUACUGGGCGUAAAGCGCGCGUAGGUGGUUUGAUAAGCGAGAUGUGAAAGCCCCGGGCUUAACCUGGGAACGGCAUUUCGAACUGUCAGGCUAGAGUAUGGUAGAGGGAGUGAUGACGUUCUGUGUAAGCGG
rnacentral:rRNA from 1 species